rnacentral:rRNA from 1 species
CCUACGGGUGGCAGCAGUGGGGAAUAUUGGACAAUGGGCGAAAGCCUGAUCCAGCCAUGCCGCGUGUGUGAAGAAGGCCUUCGGGUUGUAAAGCACUUUCAGUGGGGAAGAAAGCCUUGGGGCUAAUACCCUCGAGGAAGGACAUCACCCACAGAAGAAGCACCGGCUAACUCCGUGCCAGCAGCCGCGGUAAUACGGAGGGUGCGAGCGUGAAUCGGAAUUACUGGGCGUAAAGCGCGCGUAGGCGGUCUGAUAAGCCGGUUGUGAAAGCCCCGGGCUCAACCUGGGAACGGCAUCCGGAACUGUCAGGCUAGAGUGCAGGAGAGGAAGGUAGAAUUCCCGGUGUAGCGGUGAAAUGCGUAGAGAUCGGGAGGAAUACCAGUGGCGAAGGCGGCCUUCUGGACUGACACUGACGCUGAGGUGCGAAAGCGUGGGUAGCAAACAGGAUUAGAUACCCUGGUAGUC